rnacentral:rRNA from 1 species
AUUCCAUCUCCAAGAGCGUAUAUUAAAGUUGCAGCGGUUAAAAAACUCGUAGUUGGAUUUCAGUCUAGGAAGGUUAACUCGCCGAAAGGUUGUACGUUCAUUUUCCUCAGACUUCGUCAGAAGCUCGUGCUGCACUUAACUGUGUGGUACGAUGUUCUGACCUUUUACCUUGAGGAAAGUAGAGUGUUUCAGGCAGGCUACCCAGCUUGAAUACAUUAGCAUGGAAUAAUGAAAUGGAUCUCGGUUCGAUUUCGUUGGUUCUAGAGCUGAGGUGAUGAUCAAUAGGAACAGGCGAAGGUAUUCGUACUUGAGAGUGAGGAGUGAAAUCCGAUGAUCUCUUAAAGACGAUCCGAGGCGAAAGCAUUUGUCAAGGAUGUUUUCAUUA